CCUGACCUCUCUUCUUGCAGAAGCUAGCAUUCACAUUGACACAUGAGUCUGGGUGUAGGAGGGGAGGGGUAGGAGGAGAAGGGAUGGCCACUGGUGGAAUCUCAAUGGAAUCAAGUUGGGGUGGGGGGUGUUGCCACUGAGGGAGAGGCCCGGCCAGGAGUAGUGUCUGGAGGAGAGGCCCUGCUUCCAACACUGCCUGCAAGAGCUUCCCCUUCUCAGGCAGUGGCUUCUCAGCCAGCAACUUGAGGUUUGCUUGGGGUUGAGAAAUUGGUUCCUUGCGAGGAGACAAACUGAUGUAUUCAUCAGAAUUGGAAGGCGAAAAAC
rnacentral:lncRNA from 1 species